AGAGUGAGACUCCGUCUCCAAACAAACAAACAAACAAACAAACAAUAGAAAAUCCAGUCUGGAUUGGUGGAGGGGAAAUUUUUACACAUGAUAUAAAAAGAUGGUUUUUGUUAUUGAGCUGGUAAUGCCGCUGUCAUCAAAUAUGAGGAGAAACCUCCAAAACCAGCAUUUCAGAAUGGUUCCUCAGGAUCCUUUUAUUUGAAGCCUUUGGUAUCCAGGGCUCAUGUUCACUUGCUGAAAACCCCUCCAAAAGGUCCUUCGAGAAAAAAUUUGUUUACAGCUCUUAAUGCAGUUGAAAAGAGCAGGCAAAAGAAUCCUCGAAGCUUAUGUAUCCAGACACAGACGGCUCCCGAUGCGCUGCCCCCUGAGAAAACACUUGAAUUGACGCAAUAUAAAACAAAAUGUGAAAACCAAAGUGGAUUUAUCCUGCAGCUCAAGCAGCUUCUUGCCUGUGGUAAUACCAAGUUUGAGGCAUUGACAGUUGUGAUUCAGCACCUGCUGUCUGAGCGGGAGGAAGCACUGAAACAACACAAAACCCUAUCU
rnacentral:sRNA from 1 species